AGAGGGGGCAAGCGUUGCUCGGAAUUACUGGGCGUAAAGGGCGCGUAGGCGGGAUGGCAAGUCGGUUGUGAAAUCCUUCGGCUCAACCGAAGAACGUCGAUCGAUACUGCCAUUCUUGAGGGAUGCAGAGGAGACUGGAAUUCCCGGUGUAGCGGUGAAAUGUGUAGAGAUCGGGAGGAACACCGGUGGCGAAGGCGGGUCUCUGGGCAUCUCCUGACGCUGAGGCGCGAAAGCGUGGGGAGCAAACGGGAUUAGAUACCCCGGUAGUCCACGCUGUAAACGAUGACGACUAGGUGUGGGGGGGUUCAGUCCCUUCCGUGCCGCAGCUAACGCAUUAAGUCGUCCGCCUGGGGAGUACGGCCGCAAGGUUG
rnacentral:rRNA from 1 species